rnacentral:rRNA from 1 species
AUUGAACGCUGGCGGCAGGCCUAACACAUGCAAGUCGAGCGGAUGAAGGGAGCCUGCUCCUGGAUUCGGCGGCGGACGGGUGAGUAAUGCCUAGGAAUCUGCCUGGUAGUGGGGGAUAACGUCCGGAAACGGGCGCUAAUACCGCAUACGUCCUGAGGGAGAAAGUGGGGGAUCUUCGGACCUCACGCUAUCAGAUGAGCCUAGGUCGGAUUAGCUAGUUGGUGGGGUAAAGGCCUACCAAGGCGACGAUCCGUAACUGGUCUGAGAGGAUGAUCAGUCACACUGGAACUGAGACACGGUCCAGACUCCUACGGGAGGCAGCAGUGGGGAAUAUUGGACAAUGGGCGAAAGCCUGAUCCAGCCAUGCCGCGUGUGUGAAGAAGGUCUUCGGAUUGUAAAGCACUUUAAGUUGGGAGGAAGGGCAGUAAGUUAAUACCUUGCUGUUUUGACGUUACCAACAGAAUAAGCACCGGCUAACUUCGUG